CCCCCCCUUGCCGCAUAUGGACGAGCACCUUGUCCGCACGGCUGUCGACAGCACAUUCCGGGCCGGCUCCUCCGGUUCGGCCAUGGAGCCUUGACCCCCGCGGGGGCGCCUUCGUCGUGUAGGUGGGUAGGCCGCCGGUGGUCUGGUUCGUCUUGCUUGAUUCCCGGCAACGCUGCCGCAUGCACCGCCCGACCGCCGCCCCCGAACGAUUGCACAGAUGAAAUGAAAUAAUCGAGAGAGAGAAAAAGAGAGAGGAAGGCUAGGCCAAAUGGGCCUCCAUCAAUCGUCGAGAGGAAUGCUAGGCCCAAUGGGCCUCCAUCAAAUGGGGCCCACCCUAGGUUUUGCGGACCUAAAUUAUUUCAUUUCAUCAUCGUCAUCGGUCAGAUAAAGAACUGACAAAUUAUUUAGCAGUAGCAGCAGCAUCUGUAGUAGAAAUGUAAUUACGCAGGAAAAAACAUAAAUCAACCCAAGGCAACUGAUGAACCCUAAAUUAAAAUCACUGAGGCCCCGUUUGGAUCAUUGGAAUUGAAUUCCAUCAUAAUAAUCAUAAUUUAGACACAAAUUAAUUAAGCUAAUAUAAUUGUAUGUGGAAUAUAGUUGUAUAUUAUAGUUGGUGAUAUGGGAGAGAUACUUAUAUGCUGCACUUCUACUAUAGAAAAGCGAGUCUAAGAGCGUGCUAUAAGAAUUGAAUUCCAUUCUAAUAACCAUAAUCUAUAGAAUCAAUUUCCAUCUCCCACCCCAUGAAUUUAAGAUAGGCUUAUAUAUAAACUUUGGAAAGUUGUGGAAUGCCACAUUCCAACAUAAAUUAGCCUACUCCAUUAAAUAGAUUCCAAUUCCUUCAUACCAAACGGGACCUGAGAGAAGAGCCGUCGGUGGAGAAACCUCAUGAUGUGGUCCCGGCCCCACCGGAGAGAAACGAGCGGCGAGGC
rnacentral:lncRNA from 1 species